CUCUUACAAUAAUUGUUCCAUUUUACACGAUACAUCGGUAUUAAGGCCAAUAAUUUCAAACACAUUUACACCAGAUCGGAAAGCCAACAACAUGAGUCAACCAAUCCUCACCAGCUACAAAACCAAGAAUCGUGAUAUAAAAGAGUUAUUAUAAUUUUAUAAAGAAGAAAUUAGUAACUAUAUCCUUUAUAUACAUAGUACCUAGCGCAAAAAUAACAAAAUCAUGAACUGUCACUGUCAUAAAAUCCAUUCGUAAAAAUCCUUUCAGAUCCAUAUGUUAAGGUGUGGCUUCAAUUCGGCGAUAAACGUGUUGAGAAACGAAAGACUCCAAUAUUUAAUUGCACACUCAAUCCUGUCUUUAAUGAGUCCUUUAGUUUCAAUGUACCAUGGGAGAAGAUACGCGAAUGCUCCUUAGAUGUUAUGGUAAUGGAUUUUGAUAAUAUUGGACGAAAUGAGUUAAUUGGAAGAAUUUUAUUGGCUGGCAAAAACGGCUCCGGCGCCUCCGAAACUAAACACUGGCAGGAUAUGAUCUCGAAGCCGCGUCAAACUAUUGUCCAGUGGCAUAGAUUGAAACCGGAGUAAGAACAUCAAACCAGAAAAUAUAGGAAAGAGAGAGCAAAACAGCCUCGAUAUAGGCUGAACCUCUAACUCAUUACGUAAGCUAAGAAAUCCGUGGACCAGCAGGGAAACAGGACGCAGUACUAACUAAUCAUCAAAUAAUCUUUUAUCACUUAUCAAUUAUGAAAUGCAAAGAAACGUAAAUGUUAUUCUCGCUGUUUUGAAUUGACGUUUGAAGUUGGCAGAGCAGUCGGAUAAGCUUUGAGGAUCUUAAAUUGUGAAUAGAGGAAAAUAAUACAGAAUGACAGUAAUAAGAAAAAUACUAUAAAUUCAUAGUUAUGUAUUUGAAGAUACCAUAUAAAUGAGACCAAACAAACUUGUAGAAGGUAACGCUUUUAAAGAUUACCUUAACAAAUACAAAAUGAGGCUUCAUAAUAUAUUAUUAUUAUUAUGAGCAGAUUCAGGACAGCGACCUGAAAGAUCUAUUUUGCAUCAUGAUAUAGUAUAUACAAAUGUGUUUAUGCAAAAAUGCCUUCAGUUAUAUAUACAUGCAUGCCCCAAUAUACAUAUGUACAUGUGACAGGAAAUAUUUACAUGCUAAAAUUGACUGGUAAACCUAUGCGAUUUCAUACAGGCAAAAAAAAUCGCGAAAAACACAAAGUAUUGCUAAAAUCCACAUUUGGGCGAUGAAUAUAGAGGUUUGAAGUAUUUUUCUUAACCAUUAAUGCAAGGGGAAUCUAUUAAAGUUGAUAUCAGUAGAACAUCUAGUUUGCUUUUUUCUAGCGAUUUGGUGGUUUCAAUCUUAAGGUGAUAUGUUUCCUGUUUGUUUGAUUAUAUUAUAAUUUAAAUUUUGAUAUUCCAACCACCAAAUUGCAAAAACAAAAUCCAAAAAAAAAAUUUGGUUUUUGUAUAUUGCUGUCACCUUGUUUAGAUUCAUCUUGCUAAUAUGCAAUCGUUAUCGUAAAUAUAGUGUUUCUUAUUUUUUAUCAAUCGAAGAAUAUAUACAUAUGUAUGUAUUUAAAAUAGUAAAGCUUAGAAUUUCGCAUGUGGAGCUCAUAAUGUUUAGUUCAUGAAAUCAUAGAGAAAAUGUCAAAGGUUUGUGUGUAAGAGUUUCAAUAAGAGCCAUAUGAUUAAACUUACGAAAUGUGAGAUACAUACAUAUGAGAAAGGCAAUGUUUAUAUAUUUGUACUUAUUUAAAUACAAUACGAAUCUACUCAUAUAUGUAUAUAGUCCAGCGGGUAAGAAAAUUUUCUAAUCCUAAGUCUGGAAUUUGACGUUAAGAUUAAUGCUGAAAACAGUGAACACCCUACGCAGUCCCUUACCGUGCACAAAAACGCACCCCCGAGAACAACUGCGUUCUUUAAAUUACAUAUUUACACAAUACGCCGGUUUGUGUGUGUAUGUGUUUGGUUGUAUCUACACAAUGUUGCCAUUGAUAUUUUUGCUUACACACAUUUUCACACAUCCGCGUUAUCAGUUACAAUUUUUCAUUGUUUAAUAAACCAAAGCCAAAAACCAACAAAUGCAAAUAGUUCAUUUAUCUAUAUUUAACAUUAUUCAACAGUAUUUUUAAGCUAUUUUAACAAAAAUUAUCAUUUUUCUAGGUUUAUUUUGUAAAUGAUUUCGAAAUGUACUGCUUGGCAACGCUGUAUGGUGAGAGAGCAAUCAACUGAGUCGGUAUUACGGGAUUUUUUAAAAAUCGUGAAAUAAAAUCUACGGUACUACGAUACGGAAGGAAGGAAUUUUUCAUUUACAUGGGGUUCUCAUUAGUUUGAUCGGAACAGCUGACUGGGGAUUGCGUUUACGGUGUUCACUGCUUUCAGCAUAAGUGUUUAUAAAGCCUUGCACGAUUAAAUUACUUGGAAUAAAAGUAUAUUAAUUUAUGUAAGUGUAAAAUUAUAUUUUCCAGGGCCCAUUUCAAAAUUUCAAUAAUAGGAAAGAACAAAAAUAAAUCAGAAAAAGGUAUUCACGUAGAAAAAUAUCAACGGUUGUUCUUCAAGAACAAAGACUUUUUGGACCUACUUAAAUUUAUUAAAAAAAAUAGACUAUUAUUUUUUAUUUACUAUUAUUAUAAGGCGAUCAUCUCGAAUACCUAGUUUAAAUGCUAUUUGUUUUAUUUGUUCUAGUAUAUUAUGUAUAAAAAUUAAAUAAUACCUACUGAUGUGUCCCCUAUAAACUCGGAAGGCACUUAAAAGAAAUGUGUUGGUCCAAAAUUUACUCUAUAGGUGGCGUGAAGUCGAGAUACUUCUUAAAAAAAUUGCCUAAUAAAGGUCAUCACUAUUACUGGAAAAUGCGAAGAAGAAGAUACACUCUUGCAUCGAGCUCAAAUUGUACCCACAGUCGUUUUAUUUCAAAUGAUUGCAGUUUCCUGCCCUUUUGCAUUACGAUGGCAAUCAACAGAUGGAGGCAAGUUUCUUCAAGUACGCGGAUUAAAUUUAGAAGACCGGUGUUGCUCGCAGGACUUGUUUUCACAUAUGUAGCUGCUUUCACUUAUUGCAUACAACUAUACAUGUACAUAUGUAUGUAUUUAACAGGAUAGAGGUGUUACGCUGAUAAUUGGCCAAAAAAAUAGUUGUGCUGAAAUUCGUGGAGAGCACGGAAAAUAAACCAACCAAAAUGUCUAAAGAAAAUAUAAGAAAAUUUGGUAAGUAAUCAUCUUUUCUAUUUACGAAUGUGACUAUAGUCAAUAAUUGAAAUUCGUGCAGUAUUUAAUUGGAAGUAGAGAUAAAAGCAAGUUGCUUACAAGCUAAACAGAUAUAAACAAACUCGUUUAAUGUGACUGCCGCAUUAGCGAAAAUGCUCGUCAGUUUUGAGUGAAAGCUCAUAAUGGCGACAUUCAUUCAUGUGUAAGCUGAUUUAAGCUGAGAAAUUUGAACAAGAAAGAUUGAACAAAAUAAAAUUGAGUUCACUUUACUUCAUUAAUAAAAAAAAUGUAACAAAUGGACCAAAUUAAAAACGUGAUGGGUUGCUAGGAGAAAAAAAGGGUUGGGUACGUAAUGCUGUAUGAUACAAUAUUCUGUUUACAAAAUGCUGUAUACAAAAUUCUGUAUUUAAGA